rnacentral:snRNA from 1 species
GCACUUACCUGGACAGGGUCAAUGGGUGAUCAAGAAGACCCAUGGCCUGGAUUAGUGGCCUCCAUUGCACUUGGGAGGAGCAUUGGUCCAUCAUCUCCUUUGAUAGGAGAAUGGACGUCAUAAUUUGUGAUAGAGGGGUACGCGUCCGCGCGGCCCCUGC